AUCUUAUGGUGAGGGAAUGUAAGAAGUAACUCUUUGAAUCUUUCCCAUGCCUCGUAUAAGGAUUCAUCAUUCUUUGUUGAAAAGUGGUGAUUUCAUUAUGAAAUU
rfam:Gossypium raimondii Chr04_contig_335, whole genome shotgun sequence.